rnacentral:tRNA from 1 species
GUGUGGCCGUUCAGAGUAUUUCCAACGGGUCUGCAAAACCUUUAUACGUCGGUUCGACUCCGACCCGCGCCUCCA